AUUGAACGCUGGCGGCAGGCCUAACACAUGCAAGUCGAGCGGAUGAAGGGAGCUAUCUCCUGGAUUCAGCGGCGGACGGGUGAGUAAUGCCUAUGAAUCUGCCUGGUAGUGGGGGAUAACGUCCGGAAACGGGCGCUAAUACCGCAUACGUCCUGAGGGAGAAAGUGGGGGAUCUUCGGACCUCACGCUAUCAGAUGAGCCUAGGUCGGAUUAGCUAGUUGGUGGGGUAAAGGCCUACCAAGGCGACGAUCCGUAACUGGUCUGAGAGGAUGAUCAGUCACACUGGAAGUGAGACACGGUCCAGACGACUACGGGAGGGAGCAGUGGGGAAUAUUGGACAAUGGGCGAAAGCCUGAUCCAGCCAUGCCGCGUGUGUGAAGAAGGUCUUCGGAUUGUAAAGCACUUUAAGUUGGGGGGAAGGGCAGUAAGUUAAUACCUUGCUGUUUUGACGUUACCAGGAGAAUAAGCACCGGCUAACUUCGUG
rnacentral:rRNA from 1 species